rnacentral:lncRNA from 1 species
AGAUAGGCACAGCAGCAGAUCAGAAAGCCUGUUCAUCCAGAAGCAGAGUUCUAGCCAGGAAAGUGAAUACCAGUCUGCAACUUCAACCUCAAUGGGUGACUAUCUGUGAAGCUCCUCUGCUGGGGGAGAGUGGGCAGCCUCUCCCUUGCCCACUGGGAGAAAAGGGAGUGACCCCGGCAAGACCAAUUCCUCCUCUCCCCUGUCCUCCUCCUCGCCUACUCCACAUGAAGACAACGAGGAUGAAGACCUUCAUGAUGAUCCAUUUCCACUUAAUGAACAGUUUGGAAAAUACUCAUCUUUGAUUAAAAAGUUGGAAAGAACUGACCGGGCGCGGUGGCUCACGCCUGUAAUCUCAGCACUUUGGGAGGCGGAGGCGGGCGGAUCACAAGGUCAAGAGAUCGAGACCACGGUGAAACCCCGUCUCUACUAAAAAUACAAAAAAAAAAAAAUCAGCCGAGCUCGGUGGCUGGCACCUAUAGUCCCAGCUACUUGGGAGGCUGAGGCAGGAGAAUGGCGUGAACCCACGAGGCGGAGCUUGCAGUGAGCUAAUACCGCGUCACUGCACUCCAGCCUAGGUGACAGAGGAAGACUCCGUCUC